UCGGUUGUUGCGAUCGUAGAUGUCCACUUCUUGUGUGCCUGAUUGGAUGUCCGGGACGUAGGGAGCUGUCUGUGUGUUUGUGCCGGUCAGAGUCCUAACCGUUCGCCCUUAUCAACGCAAGACGCCGUCACCUGUUCGAAUCCUCUAGCCAGCUACAUACACACCAGCUCAGAUUGCCAAGCUACCUCUGUUCCACCGAAAGCGCAUCCUCUACAGCUGCGCCAUCUGCAAAUGCACUCACACCGGUGCCAAUCGCCACCCUAUCCUUACGAAUCCUGCCG
rnacentral:lncRNA from 1 species